CACAAGCAAGUCAAAUUUUGCUCUGACUCAAAGUACUAAAAGCCAGAACAGGCUCAGACUGUUGUCACAGAGGUUCCCAUUUGCUCACUAUACCACAUGAAGAGAGCCAAGUUAUACAGUCCCAUGCUGUCAAAACAAUAUAGUGAGAAGUCUGGUGUCUGUUUUUA